ACAUUAGAUAACAUUAAGGUAAUCCUACUUCAUGCCCUGUGGUCUGAUUAGAUAACAUUAAGGUAAUCCUACUUCAUGCCCUGUGGUCUGAUUAGAUAACAUUAAGGUAAUCCUACUUCAUGCCCGGUGGUCUGAUUAGAUAACAUUAAGGUAAUCCUACUUCAUGCCCUGUGGUCUGAUUAGAUAACAUUAAGGUAAUCCUACUUCAUGCCCUGUGGUCUGAUUAGAUAACAUUAAGGUAAUCCUACUUCAUGCCCGGUGGUCUGAUUAGAUAACAUUAAGGUAAUCCUACUUCAUGCCCUGUGGUCUGGUUAGAUA